CGCUGGCGGCGUGCUUAACACAUGCAAGUCUACGAGAAAGGGGUAGCAAUACCCUGAUUAAAGUGGCGCACGGGUGGGUAACACGUAAGCAAUCUACCUUUAGAUUUGGAAUAACCCCGAGAAAUCGGGGCUAAUACCGAAUGAUGCAGCGGCACCGCAUGGUGAUGUUGUUAAAGUUCUCGAAACGUCUAAAGAUGAGCUUGCGUCUGAUUAGCUAGUUGGUGAGGUAACGGCCCACCAAGGCUACGAUCAGUAACUGGUCUGAGAGGAUGAUCAGUCACACUGGAACUGAGACGCGGUCCAGACUCCUACGGGAGGCAGCAGUGAGGAAUAUUGGGCAAUGCCCGCAAGGGUGACCCAGCAACGCCGCGUGAAGGAUGAAGGCCGUAAGGUUGUAAACUUCUGUUAGAGGGGACGAAUGAUUUCGGUAGCACCGGAAUUUGACUGUACCCUCAGAGAAAGCCCCGGCUAACUACGUGCCAGCAGCCGCGGUAAUACGUAGGGGGCAAGCGUUGUCCGGAUUUACUGGGUGUAAAGGGCGCGCAGGCGGAUUGACAAGUCAGAGGUGAAAUCCUGCAGCUUAACUGCAGAACUGCCUUUGAAACUGUCAAUCUUGAGUACGGAAGAGAGAGACGGAAUUCCAGGUGUAGUGGUGAAAUACGUAGAUAUCUGGAAGAACACCAGUUGCGAAGGCGGUCUCUUGGUCCGUUACUGACGCUCAGGCGCGAAAGCGUGGGUAGCAAACAGGAUUAGAUACCCUGGUAGUCCACGCUGUAAACGACGAAUACUAGGUGUUGGAUCGCAAGAUUCAGUGCCGCAGCUAACGCAUUAAGUAUCC
rnacentral:rRNA from 1 species